UAUCAUGAAUAACAAUUACAAAGAAUCCCCCCUUUUAUAUCUAUCCAUGAAUUCAUUUAGUAAUCAAAAGGAUUUACCAGAGAAUUCUAAUUCGGUUUUUAUUCAAAAAGAGGUCAAAAUGGAUUAUAAUAUUGAUAUUAUAAUUCGUACGGAGAAAGUGGAUAGCUUGAAUCAGUUGGUGUUGAGAGUUAUAAGAUGAUUGAAGGACUUACUUCUUUCUGGUUCUAAUAGUGAUAGCGGAUAUGAAUGACAUGAAACACGAAAAGGAACCCGUUUUUGGACACCAGGUUAUUCGAAAUAGGAACGAUGGAUCCAUAGCAUGCUGAGGUAGACCAGAUUGGUAGCCAAGCAAUUUCAGGCAUCGAAUUGUGUUUAAGUAGGCUAAGACAUGAUCCUGUGAUGUUUGCAUCUUUUGCUGAUAAGGUUAACAAACUAUCAGAGUCAACCUUUUCUGCUUUUCCUAGAUCUGAUGGUGCAAUAGAUGACGAACAAGUUUCAUGGACUUGCUAGGUGUAAUAGUUUCAGGUAAAUGUGACAUGUUUGCUCCCAAUAAUGUUAACAACAAUGGUUCAGGAAACAAUAUUGGCAAAAGAUUUGUCGAGCCAUGUGAGAAACAUGUCAAGAAACGUGUAUGUCUAAAUAUUGUAAAGGGAUCCAAGAUAGCUAUGACAUACGCAACCGUGAGGUCAAGAAAAAAAGAAGCUGAAGCCCCAGUUGCAACAAAACAGGCAAAACAAGGAUCAGCCAUAGAUGCACCUUCAAUCUAAGUCUUUUUAAUUCACAAAUGCUAUCCUGCUGUAUCGUUAAUUGUUUUAGUUCACGAAUUUGGUUUAAUUCACAGUUUUUUUCAUGUUUUA